rnacentral:rRNA from 1 species
AUGGAAGCAGAACUCACAACACUAGAUACAGCUACGGUUGAAGCAGAUUGGCUUCGUCGGCUCUUGAAUGACUUGCCGGUUGUUGAGAAACCUGUACCGGAUAUCCUUAUGAACUGCGACAAUCAAACUGUGAUCACGAAAGUGAGCAGCUCAAAGGAUAACAUGAAGUCAUCAAGACACGUUCAGAGAAGGUUAAAUUCUGUCAGAAAAAUGAGAAACUCCGGAGUUAUUGCAUUGGAUUAUAUCCAACGUCUAAAAAUCUGGCAGAUCCUUUUACUAAGGGUCUAUCAUGUAAUGUGA